CGGCGAACUACACAGCGGCCAUUUCCCGACUCCAGGAGGAGACGAUCCCCUUCUCACAGUCUUGAUGCCAAUCUUUGGCAUCUGAUAUUUGAGGAACUCCAGGGACUCUAUUUCAUUGCAGAAUAAAAAAUAUACCUCCAAUUCAGUGAUAUGUGAAGAAAGUUCGAUGUCAUUGAAUGAACUCUGGAGAGAGAAGCAAAUUCAAAAGGGUGACCAAUAGGCAGAACUCAAGACGACAGCAAAAAAAGACCAAGUACAGGCCAGAUGGAGUCACAUGAUGGAUCACAAUGUCGUGUAGAAGAAGGGAGAAACUCGGG